GGAAGAUCCUGGGGCUUCUCCACCAUGGCCUGGACCCCUCUCCUGCUCUCCCUCCUCACUCUCUGCACAGGUUUGGUGGCCUCUUCUGAAGUUACUCAGUCCUCAGCAGUGUCUGUGACCUUGGGACAGACGACCAGCAUCAACUGCCAGGCAGAGGCCUUAAAAAUUACUUAUCCUUCCUGGUUACAGCAGAAGCCAGGCCAGGCCCCUGUAACAGUCGUCUAUGGUGACAACAAUCGGCCCUCAGGGAUCCCAGACCGAUUCUCUAGUUCUGAGUCAGAGGACUGGAACACCCUGACCAUCAGCGGGGCUCAGGCUGAGGGACGAGGCUGA